AAGACCUCGCGUUAAUGGAGCGGCCGAUGCCGGAUUAGCUAGUUGGUGAGGUAAAGGCUCACCAAGGCGACGAUCCGUAGCUGGUCUGAGAGGACGACCAGCCACACUGGAACUGAGACACGGUCCAGACUCCUACGGGAGGCAGCAGUGGGGAAUUUUGGACAAUGGGGGAAAGCCUGAUCCAGCCAUUCCGCGUGAGUGAAGAAGGCCUUCGGGUUGUAAAGCUCUUUCGCAAGGAAAGAAAACUUAUCUCCUAAUACGAGGUGAGGAUGACGGUACCUUGAUAAGAAGCACCGGCUAACUACGUGCCAGCAGCCGCGGUAAUACGUAGGGUGCGAGCGUUAAUCGGAAUUACUGGGCGUAAAGCGUGCGCAGGCGGUUUUGUAAGUCAGAUGUGAAAUCCCCGGGCUCAACCUGGGAACU
rnacentral:rRNA from 1 species